rnacentral:rRNA from 1 species
GUACACGCUGUGACUAGCAUAUCAAUAAGCGGAGGAAAAGAAACUAACAAGGAUUCCCUUAGUAACGGCGAGUGAAGCGGGAAGAGCUCAAAUUUGAAAUCUUCAAGGUUUUACCUUGACGAAUUGUAGUUUAAAGAAGUGUUUUCUGCUGAAGUUUUGGUAAAAGUUCUUUGGAAUAGGACAUCAUAGAGGGUGAGAAUCCCGUAUUUGACCAUUAUUUUCAGCUUUGUGAUACACUUUCAAAGAGUCGGAUUGUUUGGGAAUGCAGUCCAAAAUGGGUGGUAAAUUUCAUCUAAAGCUAAAUAUUGGCGAGAGACCGAUAGCGAACAAGUACCGUGAGGGAAAGAUGAAAAGAACUUUGAAAAGAGAGUUAAACAGUACGUGAAAUUGUCAAAAGGGAAGCGUUUGACACCAGUGUUGUUUUCUCGAAAAUCAAUUAAAAAUGGCUCGAUUUUGUAUUGCUUGAGACCUUAAAAGCUCACUGUACAUUUUUCGUGUCUUUUUUAAUGCACUUUUCGUUUAACAAGUCAACAUCAGUUUCUUUUGUUGUAAAAGGGUCAUUGGAAGGUGGCUUUCUUUUCGGAGAAAGUGUUUAUAGCCUUUGGCCUCUGCAAUCGAAGAGACUGAGGUCUGCAGCGUAGACUCUUCGGGGUUAGAUACAUUUGUGCUAAGUUAUAGCUUUUUAUAGACAACUUGUUGACUAUAAUUAGUCUUGUAGCUUACUCGCUUAUGCUAUUUUACCUACGCUUAGGAUGUUGAUAUGCAUGACUGAUAU